CUGUUAACCAAAAAGUAACUGGGGUAAACUCACCUUUACUGUUAACCAACUAGUAACUCGAAGGAUAGUGGCGAUUUUGAAGGCGAAGGAGACUGGCGAUUUUGAAGAAGGUGGUGAUGAAGAGGGGGGUUUCAUAUUAAGGGGUUAAGACGUUGGUAUCGGGCAAGUAGGCUUAGCGUUUACGGUUUCAGCGUUGUCCCUGAUAGGCGAUUUACUAUUACGAAGACGGUGAAGACGGUUGUAGCGCGAAUAGCGGUGGCGGUGGCGCGAUAAGCGUAUACGAAUACGGCGGUGGCCCAAACAGUUCUUAAUUUGACAGAUUGAUUUUAUUAUGGGGAGUAAGCGCGACCGAAAUCCAUGUAAUUAUGUAUCUGAUUUGGAUACGGAUGAUGGUGGCAAUUCUCAAUACAGGCUUAAGAAAAAACAGGUUGUUCCUGCAAUUUUCAAGGAUAAUUGUAUGACUGUUGGUGGUAAAGUGAAGGCCCAGAGGCUUGUGUUGAAGGAACAUGAGAGGAGAAGCUCUCGGGUAAGACGUGUAUAAUUGUUUGAUGGUAGAGUAACAACGUUUUGAUUCUCCUCUACUAAGAUUUGACUCCCCUGUUCAUGAAAGCCGCCUAAUUUGACGUGUCGGAUUGAAUCUUUUACAAGGAUCUGUCAAACAUUUGAUGAGAGGACAACUAAAUGGGUGAAGGAGAUGGGAUUUGGAGGCCUUCUUCAUUUACCGUCUGAUUUGCACUUCCGAGGAAACUUAGGUAUUGGCCAUUGAGCCGCAUUGAUCCAAUAAGUCGAAAAUUGAUAGGCAGUGAUGGAAAAGAGUUCAAAUUUUCAAACAACCAAGUCCAUUGGGUUCUUGGAAUUCCGAAUGGAGGACUUCCUGUGCCCACCAAGAAAUCAUUGAGCACAAAAAUGCGUGCAAAGACCUAUGAGAUCUUGGGAAAGUAUGGCAAAACAUGGGAGGGUAAAUCAAGAAACUUUCUUGGCCGCACGUAUACGUCUACAGGGAUUCCUAUCAAUUCUAGCAUGAUGGAUAGGUUGGAGGGUUAUUGGGAGGCACAUGACAAAGAAGAGUUUAAGACCCUGUUUCUAUUGAUAGUAUUGCAAAUGCUUCUAUGUCCUACUCAGUCGCCACGAUUAGCUGCUGACCUUGUUCCCGCCUUGACCUGUGCUUCAGAUUGUCAGAAUUUUGAUUGGUGUGAACUUGUGCUGGGUAGAUUGAUGCAGAGUGUCGUGAGUUUUGCUAGGGCGUUUUAUGCAUCUGGCUUUGCAAAGGGUUGUGGUGGUUGUACCAUUUUCUUAGUGAUUUUCUACUUGGACAGGCUAAAUAGAGAUCUGGUGUCAUGGGGAAGUUUUCCCCGUAUUAAGGUUUGGAAUAUGCAGCACAUUAGAGGUGCUGCUAAGGAAGACAAAAUUACAGCUACUGGAGAUUUUGGACACCUUGGGAUGUUAGACGUUGCGUAUGGUGAGCAGCACCCUGAUAUGGCUAGGGAUAGUAAUGGCCCAGUUGACAUUGCCAAGGUUGUAGAGGAAUUUGGGAGUAGGCGUACGACAACUUUGAAAAAGUGGAGGACAGCGAGAAAGGAUAGAAAACCAUUUGUUCGUAAUGAUAUAAAUGGAACGAUGAAGUUUUCUGCAAACCCUUGGAGGUGCAAUAAUGGUUCAAACUCUCAAUUUUUUAGGCCAUCUGUUUCACCAUUGUUACCGGUGUGCAAGUUAUUACUAUUUUUUUAAACAACUCAAAACCGCAAUGGUCUUUUCCUUUGCAAUUCACGACCUUCACUCGGAAAACGCCAAGCAGCUAUUGCUCUGCCCUGUUUAUUUCACUGCAAAUGUGUCAGAUAAUUGUCCUUCAAUCAGGGAUGCCAUGUUUGACUUGGAAGGCAAUAAACAGUUUGCUAGGUGAAUUGCGUGGCAUGCUGAAUGUUGGAAUAUUAGGGUCCAUUUCAAUCAAGCUUGGAUGGAGUGUGAAGGUACUCAAUAACAACCAUAUCCUUAAACAACCGUAGAUGAAAUAACAGUUAUGGAAUUUCAAAGAGAUCGUCAGCCGAUAUGUAAGACACAUAUACGAAUUGUCAGUGUUCUUACUGUGUUGUAAUAUUUAUGCAUUUCCAUUGCAAAAUCUCAAUUUCGGUUCAUUGUAAAACAGUAUUGUAUGAACAAUUGAAUGCGAUAUGUUUUACUCAAAUAUUUUUUAAUGCACUGAGACCUCAAGAAAUGUCGGCCCAGUUGCAGUUGUUCAAA